GUUUAUCGGCAGCACUUUCCUUGCGAUAGUAACUUCUAGUUAAUAAUUCAUAAUAAGCUUAUUGGCAAACAUGUCAACCAUAACAUGUCACGUGAAGAGUCUUUAUACCUGAUAAAACUCAUCUUAAUUAGUAUUCAUUAUAUAAAUUAAAAGUCCAUCCUAAUUAGUAUUCUUUAUAUAAAAGUCCAUCCUAAUUAGUAUUCUUUAUAUAUAGUUGCCUAGAUUAGUAAAUUAAUUCUUAUAUAAGAGGGUCCUGAAGGGGGAGUCCCAAUCCCAUUUCCCACCUGACAUUUUGGCAAAAUCCCAGUCCCAGUUGGAUUUUUAUUAGAAAUCCCAGUCCGAGUUAUUGAAAUCCCAGUCAAUAAAAAAAAGUUAUUUAUCGGUAGAAUAAGACCUUUUAAGCCACCGUAUGUGCGCACCGUGUGACACAAAGACACCAAAAACGGAUCAAAAUUGUAUUUUAAAAUACUUAAAACGUGGAAAAAUUGGGAAUCGACUCGCAUUACCUCAAUCCCAUUCCCAUUUUUGAGGACUUCAUUUCCCAUUCCCAGUGGCCAAAUCCCAGUGUUGGAAUUUCUUGUUUGAAGAAAGUUUUCACAACAAAUCACUAGUUUUAAAGGUUUAAUCACUCGAAAUACAAAGUUACUUUUCUCUCAGAAUCACAGUUUUAAUAUAUCCCAUUGCAUGCAACCCCCCGCUGCGUUACGUCAUAGCAUGCACAAUUUAACAUAAUUAAUAUGAAUAGAGUAUCUUAUCUUUCGGACUCUUGAAAUGAUAUACAUGUUACUUAACGUUCUAUAACCUAUAAGAGUCCUUAGAAGUUCAUUAAAGGUUCAUAACAAAGUUCCAUAUUGUUCAUAACAAAGUUCCAUAUUGUUCAUAACAAUAUGGAACUUUGUUAUUGGGCUAGUAUUCCAAAGGUCGUAGGUUCGAAUCCCACCGUGGCCGGGCAUAUUUUUCAAGCUCGCCCGGUGUGGAUAUGCACUCAGAGUAACACCACAAAUAUCAUAUUCACCUGAGUACACUACACCAACACAGAAAAAAAAUCAUAUUACUAGAAUACAUUGGUAUCGAAGGAACUAGAUUCUGUUCCGAAAUAUCACUUACUCGAACCGUCCUGACCGCGUAGCUCAGUUGGAAGAGCAUUGGGCUAGUAUUCCAAAGGUCGUAGGUUCGAAUCCCACCGUGGCCGGGCAUAUUUUUCAAGUUCGCCCGGUGUGGAUAUACACUCAGAGUAACACCACAAAUAUAUCAUAUUCACCUGAGUACAUUACACCAACACAGAAAAAAAUUCAUAUUACUAGAAAACAUUGGUAUUGAAGGAACUAGAUUCUGUUCCGAAAUAUCACUUACUCGAACCGUCCUGACCGCGUAGCUCAGUUGGAAGAGCAUUGGGCUAGUAUUCCAAAGGUCGUAGGUUCGAAUCCCACCGUGGCCGGGCAUAUUUUCAAGCUCGCCCGGUGUGGAUAUGCACUCAGAGUAACACCACAAAUAUCAUAUUCACCUGAGUACACUACACCAACACAGAAAAAAAAAAUCAUAUUACUAGAAAACAUUGGUAUCGAAGGAACUAGAUUCUGUUCCGAAAUAUCACUUACUCGAACCGUCCUGACCGCGUAGCUCAGUUGGAAGAGCAUUGGGCUAGUAUUCCAAAGGUCGUAGGUUCGAAUCCCACCGUGGCCGGGCACAUUUUUCAAGCUCGCCCGGUGUGGAUAUGCACA